UGAGAAGGCCAGGAGGAAGAUGAAGGAGCCCACGAAGACGUUGGUCCAUCCCCAUGCCGACUGCAGAAACAAUCUAAACAGAGAGGACGUGUGUUAAGUAGAUGCUAUUGGUUUUCAGUAAUGAUGUUCUAGAAUGUAGCGGACUGUGUUAUGACAGAGGUAGGCCUUCAUCUUUUAGUCAGUGUGAUGGAGUCAAGGGUGUUGUUCCGGGGGGUACUGUGUGACUAAGUCACCAGGGCCCCAUGUAUAUGGGCCCACAUUGUCCAUUAGAUCUGAUUGUACCUGGGGUUCAAAAUUGGAUGGAUGGAAUUCACAUCGUGUCAACAUUCACAUUGAGAAGAAGAAGUGUAUUGCAGUGUCAUGCUAGUUCUCUAUUUUGCCAUGCAUUGAUUUUAGUGUAAAAUCUUCCAUAGUCGAUGUAUAAUGCCAGAGUGAAGCAUCAAGUCUUAGUCAGUGUGUGUGUGUGAUGAAGACCUUCACAUCAAUGGCAUGAUGUAAACAUGCAAAAUGGAAAUGAGUCCUUUUUGCGAAGAUAGCGAAUGGGGAGACCCACAGGCUAAGGACCGGUCCAAAGAUGACAAGGCCCGAUAUCAACAAAUGAAAAUGGCGGCGAAUGGUGCCAUGGCCAAGAAGACCAGCUGGCAGAUCCAUCUUGCUUGAUCCUGACAUGUUCUCCUUCUUCGUUGAGGCUGCUGCUCUCCAGUGGGCAUGAGGAGGGACUGCACUGCACUGC